rnacentral:rRNA from 1 species
UACGGAGGGUGCGAGCGUUGUCCGGAAUCACUGGGCGUAAAGGGCGCGUAGGCGGCGCGGAAAGUCGUCGGUGAAAGCUCGGGGCUCAACCCUGAGUCUGCCGGUGAUACUCCCGCGCUCGAGCUCACUAGAGGCAGAUGGAAUUCCUGGUGUAGCGGUGAAAUGCGCAGAUAUCAGGAGGAACACCGGUGGCGAAGGCGGGUCUCUGGGCCGAUACUGACGCUGAGGAGCGAAAGCGUGGGGAGCGAACAGG